rnacentral:rRNA from 1 species
AUUGAACGCUGGCGGCAUGCCUUACACAUGCAAGUCGAACGGCAGCGGGGGAGAAGCUUGCUCUUCCUGCCGGCGAGUGGCGAACGGGUGAGUAAUACAUCGGAACGUGCCCUGUAGUGGGGGAUAACUAGCCGAAAGAUUAGCUAAUACCGCAUACGACCUGAGGGUGAAAGUGGGGGACCGCAAGGCCUCAUGCUAUAGGAGCGGCCGAUGUCUGAUUAGCUAGUUGGUGGGGUAAAGGCCUACCAAGGCGACGAUCAGUAGCUGGUCUGAGAGGACGAUCAGCCACACUGGGACUGAGACACGGCCCAGACUCCUACGGGAGGCAGCAGUGGGGAAUUUUGGACAAUGGGCGAAAGCCUGAUCCAGCAAUGCCGCGUGUGUGAAGAAGGCCUUCGGGUUGUAAAGCACUUUUGUCCGGAAAGAAAUGGCUCUGGUUAAUACCUGGGGUCGAUGACGGUACCGGAAGAAUAAGGACCGGCUAACUACGUGCCAGCAGCCGCCGUAA